GGAAAUUGCUGGCUUGCCGAAAUGACAUUGUUGGCAUUAACUAGAUUAACUUCUGAAAUGAAAAGCCCACGAAAGCAAAACCAAAACAGAGAAGGAGCCAUGGCUUCCGCUGGGGGCUUCACGGUUCCCUGCUUCGGCCUGCCUGACCCCCUACCCAGGGCUCCCAGCCAUCCUCCCUGGACAGGCUGGAGAGGAGGCAGGAGCCCCUUCCCUGUCUUCACACAGGACCUCACCUCACGGAUCUCGGGAAAAGAGUACUGGGCACUGAGCCCCACACUGGGACUGGGAACUCUUUCAGAAGGUUCUAGUCCGCAGGGGAGAUAGGCAGGCAUGUCAACACCAGGCAGAGUGGUGAGAGAGGAGUCAAGAAAGCCAAGAACUGAUGGACCCAGAGUCCAGGGAUCAGAGAAGCAACACCCCGGCUGAAUGACAAGCAGAUCUCCAGCCAGAGCUUCUUGAGAAGGCAAACCAGGAAGGGGGUAAGAGGAAGACACAGAGAUGCGAGGAGGAGCCAAGGGCAGUCCUGCGUGGCUGGAGCACAGAGGGAAGGGAUGACACCGUUGCAUUUAGUGGUCCCAUCAGAGGGUCAGCCAAGGCGAGCCAGAGAAGGGAGGAAACAGGAGAAGAAACACGAUGCCGUUGGUGCUUCCUCUCGAUAAGACACUUUAUGGACUUUCUCUUUCCUCCUGAAAAGAGUCUGGAUGGAAGUAUCCUUUUCUCCACUUGAGAGGCCACAAUACUGAGGCUGAAUGAGGUUUACCCACUUCUCAUAGCCAGUGACAAUCAGAGCUAGACUCAGCCCUGAGGUCUUUGCAGUUACAAAUCUGGGAGUUCUCUCCCCACACAUCUUUGCUUCCAGACCCUGCCCCUGGCCAUACAAAGCUUCCAGUCUGCUAGUGCUAUGGACCCAGUGAUGCCACACUAGUUUGCUAACCUUGGACUAAAACUCAGAAAUCCUGUAGUUCCUCUGAGCCUCUAGACACCAGGACUGUCAAAUCCAAUCAACUAUCCAAUGAGGUUUUUAUUUUUCUCUUUUUUGGACAUGUCACGAAGCAUGUGGGAUCUUAGUUCCCCAACCAGGGAUCAAACUCAUGCCCCCUGCCAUCAAAAGACAGCGUCUUAACCACUGAACCACUAGAACUUUAAACAUGACUUCUAUUCCUAGCUCCCCUGACCAGGGGCAUUUGUGAUGUCCUUAUUCUGAGAAGUGACAUCUAGCGAUAGAAGUCUCAGCACAGGACAGAAGAGGUCCUUUUAGAUAGAAGAAGGCUGUUGCAGCGCCCCUCAGCUCCCUCCAGCUGCACCCGAACCCACACCUGGGCCUGCCGGCCAUGGCACCUCAUGGGUCAGUCCUGGUCAGGGUCACCAGAUGCCAGGCUAGGUCACUGGGUAUUAAUCAUUGCCAAGGGGGAAGUUAAACUGAAAACCGGUUCAUUAACGAUUAAGCUUCCUCUCUGUAGCCCUCGGGGAAGGGGAGCUCGGGUGGAGGGCAGGUCUUGUGUCAGGAAAUCUCCUCCUGUGGAAGUCUUCCCAGAGAGUCUAUGGUGAGCCCAAGGGUCCUGGGUUCAAGUCCUGGCUCUGCUCUCGACCUGCCAGGGGACCUUGGACGGGACACUUACCCUUUCUGAGCUUCCGAGUCCUCCUCUGACACAUGGAGAAAAUUCCACUGGGUUCCUUGUGACACAUUAGCAUACAUUGUCCUAAGAAUAGUUUAUAUGUAUUUGCUCUUCUCCAUCUAGAAUAGUUCCGUACCCUCAGGGUUCCCAGUGUAAGGACACUUAACUAUUCACAUCCUCAUGGCCAUGGACAUUCAGUUCAGUUCAGUUGCUCAGUCAUGUCUGAGUCAUUUCUUUGUGACCCCAUGGGCUACAGCACGCCAGGCUUCCCCGUCCAUCACCAACUCCCAGAGCUUAGUCAAACUCAUGUCCGUCGAGUCGGUGAUGCCAUCCAACCAUCUCAUCCUCUGUCGUCUCCUUAUCCUCCCGUCUUCAGUCUUUCCCAGCAUCAGGGUCUUUAACUGUUCGCAUCUUCACAGCCAUGGAAAGUUGGUGGAAAAUCACAACUCCACCAUGAGACCCGGGAUGCAGACUCACACUCUCCUCUUUGCUCCCCACACCAGCCAGGCAGUUCUCUGACCCCAGAACAUGCCCUCUUUGCUCUCCGGCCACUGGCCAAGUUCUAUCUGGAGGGAGUUCUUUGGAGCCCAGUAAUGCACAAGCACCAGAAUUACCCAUUUGGCCAACUCCAGACAUCUCCUUUUGGACCAUCCCAUCCCACUGGGACCUGCUGAAACCAAAGCUUUCCACAGGACCUUCACAAAUGUUGAUCCAAUGCCAAAGCAAUGACGCAGUAUAUAAUCAAGCAGACUCCUAAACCCUUUGUAUUCUACACAGGCACCAGGAUGGUGCCAGGGCUCCAGUGGCAGUCCCAAAUGGAAGUGACACCAUAUGUACCCUGGUUUGCAACCAGAAAUGCCCAUUAAGGUGAGACAUCUGACGAAAACACUGGUGAACAAUGACAGAUUUUAAAACAUGAGGAGAAUAAGAUGAGAGAGGCAGUUGGGACGGGCAACCAACUUCUUUCCUCUUUUUCAGUUGCUCUUAACCGGGCUUUCCAAGAAGUGAGUCUGAUCACUCUUCUGUCUGUAGAUGGCAGCACUGGUCCCUUCCACACCCCAAGGGGGACCGUGAUUUUCACUUGAGAACAUGUGCUCCCGAGAACGGAGGAGAAUAAGGAUAAAAUAAGAGGAACUAGCUUCACAGCUGGAGAAGGAAAUGGCAACCCACUCCAGUGUUCUUGGCUGGAGAAUCCCAGGGACGGGGGAGCCUGGUGGGCUGCCGUCUACGGGGUCGCACAGAGUCAGACACGACUGAAGCGACUCAGCAGCAGCAGCAGCAGCUUCACAGCAAUUAGCCUCAGCCACUUAAGAGGUGAGCAUAUCUGACAGAGUCACAAAAUUCCCGAAGCCUCGCUCAGGAUUCUAGCAGAAUACCAAGGUCACCAGUAACUGUCUAAAUAACCACUGCAAGGGGUCCAUGAAACUCAAGGGUUUUCCCCGAAGUAGGUCAGGAUCCACAGAACCCAGGUGGAGCACCCUUGAGCAGGAGAGUAUAGACAGAUAGCAAGCUGCCCCCAUCUGUUCUGAGUCAGCCUGGAGUGUCUUGCCCCCAGGCAUUGUCCCAAACUCCUGUUUACUGAGUGCUCUCUAUGUGCCUGGUAGGUUGCUGAGAGCAUUGCCAGCACUGUGCCAUCUAUCCCUCAAGAUGGGCACUCCUUCCGUCUACUUUACAAAGAGGAGACACACUUGCACAAAUGUGGAAACCGAAUGAGUGGAAGACUUCUAUUCAAUACCAUGUGUUAGGGCACCAACCAAGCAGGACAGAAACCUAUGCCCACCCCGGAGUGAAAGCUUACCGAAGCAGCCUGGCAAUGCAGGAGACCAGAGCCACUGAAAUGAGGAGGGAGGCAGAGAAACAGGGCUAUGGUCUCAGGACACACCUCCUCUGAAUAUUGUCACCCCCAACUAAGAAAGUCCGAGGAACGGAGUCAGGAACACCCCUCAGAUCCAGUACCAGUUAUGCCCUGAAUGAGCUGUGUGAGCUCAGGCAAGUCCCUUCACCUUUCUGAGCAUCCGAAGCCUUCCCCAAGCAGGUGGUGAAUACCUAAUGAGAUAAUGGCAAGGGAAAAAAAAGCUUUUAAAAGUAUAAAAGCUCUCCUGGAGGUAUUAUUAAUUAUUAUUAUUAUCAUCAUCAUCAUCCUUCUCAGUUAUUAAUGACCUGUUACCUGCAAGGGAUCUGUCAUCCAGGAAUCUCUCUAAGCCCUUCUUGAAUCUGUUUAUAUUUCUAGUCGGUAGCACCUUCCUUGCUUUUGAUCCUCAGCCCCCAAGCCGGGGAGCCACAGGCAAAGUCCUCUGCCUAGAAGCCUGGGUUUGAACAGCUUUUCUCAGUCUCUUGUGGAUUCUGUCACCACCGACUGAAUUUAGUGCAAUACAGCCUCACUUCCUCCCCCAAACCCCAUUUGUAAGCCCAGAUCUGUGUUAGGAUCUUAGGAAGACAGAGAGGACGAAAAAGGCCUUGCCUUCCCAAAUCAUCCCGCAUAAGACUACAUGUCCCCCGUAGGGUAGAAACAUAGGACUCCCUCUUAAGCACCUAUACUUGAGCAGAGAACGAGGUCCAGACUCCAGAGGUCUACAGCCCAUCCAAGAACCAGGGCCCCACCUGCUCUCAAAGCCCUUUUUCCUCUUCACACCAGAGGCAAAGGACUUGAAAACCUUUCUGAAGGACUACACAGGCCAAAAAUAUAAAUCGAGCUCAGUUAAUUUUGAUACCUACCUGGGAUGAGCUGCACAGAUUUCAAGUCAAGUCAAACACGGUGUGGUCCUAGCCUCAAGAAGUUCAUCCCCGGGUAGGUGAGAUCAAGGCACAAAAUAAUGAUCUUGCAAGUCAAGGUUAGCUAGAGGAUUCAAGAAAAACAGUUUAGGGGAGGGCCUACCUAGCUGCACCUGUGACAAUCAGGAAAAUUUCGAUGAAGGGACACUUGAAUUCGGUGCUAAAGAAUAAACAGGAGUUUGGCAAGUAGAGAAGGUGGUGAGCCAAAGGUAAGGGGGUCUGCAGCAGGGAGAACAUGAACACUGUUCAGCGGUCAGAGCACAGAGUGAUCCACCUGGGUGAGAGCCACUGGACGUACAGUGCUGCCUGUCACUGAAACUGACAAAUAUCCUCCCUGAUCUUCAGAAAAAAGCCCUAUCAACAAAUGUUGUCUGGCCCCCUAAGAGACUUCCUGACUUCCCCUAGGCAAGGUCUUUGCAUGUCUUGGGUUGUGCAGACUACAGAAGCUGGGCAUCAGUGUACUCUCAACCCCAGGCCAAUGUUGUGUCUUUACUAAGACUGUCGGGCUCAGAACGUCCCUAGCAAAACGGGCUUCUCAAAUGUACCCCUUUCACCCCUUAACUGCAGGUGAGGAAACUGGAGAAGAAUCCCCUUCCUCACAAGUCAGGGACAGGGGUGGGAAUGGAACCCAGCCCCCUUGCCCCUCCUCGCCCCUCUGCUCCCAUGAUGAGGUAAAUCUCACCCAACCUGACUGGAGGAAAGCUCCAGACACGUUCAAGGUGAUUGUAACAGUAGCAUUUGUAGGCAAAUUAUAUUCCAUGAGCUAAUUAGGCAGGGAUUGGGGCCCUUGGCCAUAAUUAAUAUCUUGUCCCUAACAACUUAAUCCUGGGUGAGAUCAUAGCAAGGAUCUCCUCUGAAUGCCGAAAUUCUUUCCUCCAACAAAUCACCUAUAUAAAUACAUAUAUUUUAAUAGCAGCAAUUAUAAAGUUCUCUGCCAACUUAUGGGGCUGUUUAACAUUCCUGGACUGAGGCCACAGUUUUUUCCCCAUCUCCUCCCUCCCCACAACCAAAGCCUAAUGAAUAGUGACUCUUUUGUGGCUCUGCGUUCCAUUUAACCAAUAUCUCCUACCCGAUGGGUCUUCGCAGGGAGUUAAUAAGCAGUCUGGGAGGACUGCCUGAGGAGGUCCACGAACCUGAUCGUUAACUGCAAGGCCUAAUCAGCAUGUGCUUCCCACCCAGAGUCCCCUACAGCUACACAGCCCCGGUCCCCCAGUAAUGGAUGGAAAAUCGGCGAUUUCCUGACAGUUAGCAACCAAUUUUCCACCAAUUAAAAGAGAGACUGUGGUCCCUGGAGGAAGCUGGAUGGGUCCACCGCACAGAGCUGGGACCGGAAGACAGAUGAUCCUAGAAGCAUCAGGGAACCAAAGCCUUGGGGGUAGGGGGCCCCUCCCUCCGCGUCUCUUUCUGAAUCAGCUUUGGCUUAUAUCAGGGGAAGGCGACUUCGGGGACAGAGGCUGCCUGCCUGGACACUUCCCUCCAAGCUCGCUUUACUCAGCAACACUGUUAUAUGAUAAACCACCCCCAUCUCGUCUCCUGGGCCAGCAGACAUGGGUUUCUCUGUGCCCAGGACACUGAGAAAUUCCCCCAAGGCAGUUGAUGUGGAGGCUUAAGAAAGCAUAAGCUCUGGAGUUGAACAGUUAGGCCUCGAAAUUCUGAAUUUGUUUCUUUUCCAUUGUGUGUGACCUUGGACCAAAUACCUAAACUCUCUGGGCCUCAGUUUCUUCAUCUGUAAAAUGGGGCUAGCCACAUCACUUACCAGAUAGGACGGUUAUGAGGAUUAAAUGAAAUAAUGUGGGUAAAGUCCUUUACAUCACAGUAAAUACUGUGUAAUAUAGAAGGGCUAUUAUUAUUCUUCCUAUUACUAUGUUGAUAAUAUACAGUACUAUUACUAACUGAUAUCAGCAAGUGUGUGUUGAGCAUUGUGCUAAGCACUAUGAGAUCACUACCCAAGACAUCCUUAGACAUUUCUCCAGUUUGUUGGCCCUGCCCCCAUCAUCUUCCAUCUGCUCUUGCACCCCACCAGCUCAUAUCCCCACAAAAGUGCCAGUGAUUUUUCUAAAAUACAAGCUUGACUGUGUCCUCAUCGCUAGCCAGAUUAAGAUCCCACAGUGGCUUUUGCAGCACAAGCGCCUUUCCUGGAGCUCACAAGCCCUGAGCCACCUCUUCCCUGCUUACUCCUCGGCUUUAGCUCUCCCCCUUGCCUGCCCUGUUUCUUAUCAUUCUUUAAUGCCCACAGUCCCAGAACAUCAGACCCACCAUUGCAAUGAAUGUGAGGAUGCAACGACAUCACAAAGAAAGCGCACCGAAUAGGUGCAUAGGAAGCUGGAUUCCCCCUGCUCCAUGCCGCAGCAUGGCGCCCAAAGGAGCUGAGUGAUGGCAUUGCCAACAGGCUUGCAAGUUGUGAGAGAGAGAGACAAGGCCACCCUCAGCAUCACUUUGGCAUUUAUUGGACAUGAUUGUGCUCUAAAUUCUCAGGUAAUUGGCCAUUCUCACUUGGUAAUUGUAACUGAAUCAGACCCAGCCUUUGCCUCAAAGAGCUCAGUCUGUGGGGAACAAAAUACCAAAAGGGAACUUAACAAAUACUUACUCUAUGCCAGGCACUCUGCUCAGAAACUAUACAUGGAUUAUCUCACAGGAUUAUCUGAUUUGAUCUUCAUAAGAGCUUCAGGAGCAGAGUUAACAUAUAAUUUAUCACACAAACUAAGACACUUCUGGGAGUGAGGGAGUCCCUAUUAAUAACUACAUGGGACAAUAGGCAUAAACUUGGGGCCAUCCUAGGCACGUCUGGAUAGAUGAAAUAAUGGAGGUGAAAUAAUAAUAAAGGUGGCCUUGUCUCCAAGGUAUGUGUCCUUUUUUAAAAAAAUUCAUUUUGGUCACUCUGCACAGCUUGCAGGAUCUCAGUUCCCCGGCCAGGGAUUGAACCCAGGCCACCGCAAUGAAAGCCCAGAAUCUAACCACUGGGCCACCAGGGAAUUCCCUUUAUUUUAAAGGGUUUAGGAAAAUAAGGACUUUGCCCUCAUUUACAUCCUUCUCAGAGACGGGGGCUCAAACCAGGCCCUCUGAUUACCAUCUAUGGGCACAAAUAAGAUGCAAAGUGAAACAGAAUGUUUCCUAACAGAAGGAGGGAGAGAGGUGGCUCCAGGCUUGAAGGUGAAGUGGGAAGGUUGGGAAGCAAAGGGGAAGGGCUGGGGGGCACACAUGAACUGAGGGCCAGAGGGCAGUUGGGUUUUCAGAAAGCAGAUGGGAAAGUUAAGAAAGUCGUGCAGGAG
ensembl:lncRNA